rnacentral:rRNA from 1 species
GACGAAGGGGGCUAGCGUUGCUCGGAAUUACUGGGCGUAAAGCGCGUGUAGGCGGCUGUUCAAGUUGGGCGUGAAAGCCUUGGGCUUAACCCAAGAAAUGCGCUCAAUACUGGAUAGCUAGAGGACCGGAGAGGAUAGCGGAAUUCCCAGUGUAGUGGUGAAAUACGUAGAGAUUGGGAAGAACACCAGUGGCGAAGGCGGCUAUCUGGACGGUUUCUGACGCUAAGACGCGAAAGCGUGGGGAGCAAACAGG